AUUGAACGCUGGCGGCAGGCCUAACACAUGCAAGUCGAGCGAGCGGCGGACGGGUGAGUAAUGUCUGGGAAACUGCCUGCUGGAGGGGGAUAACUACUGGAAACGGUAUAGCAUACAGCAUACCAUCAGAGCUGCCCAGAUGGGAUUAGCUAGUAGGUGGGGUAAUGGCUCACCUAGGCGACGAUCCCUAGCUGGUCUGCGAGGAUGACCAGCCACACUGGAACUGAGACACGGUCCAGACUCCUACGGGAGGCAGCAGUGGGGAAUAUUGCACAAUGGGCGCAAGUCUGAGGCAGCCAUGCCGCGUGUGUGAAGAAGGCCUUCGGGUUGUAAAGCACUUUCAGCGGGGAGGCGUUACCCGCAGAAGAAGCACCGGCUAACUCCGUGCCAGCAGCCGCGGUAAUUC
rnacentral:rRNA from 1 species